rnacentral:rRNA from 1 species
CGGCGGACGGGUGAGUAAUGCUUAGGAAUCUGCCUAUUAGUGGGGGACAACAUCUCGAAAGGGAUGCUAAUACCGCAUACGUCCUACGGGAGAAAGCAGGGGACCUUCGGGCCUUGCGCUAAUAGAUGAGCCUAAGUCGGAUUAGCUAGUUGGUGGGGUAAAGGCCUACCAAGGCGACGAUCUGUAGCGGGUCUGAGAGGAUGAUCCGCCACACUGGGACUGAUACACGGCCCAG